GCGUCGGUAGUGCAAAGGGUUAGAGCACGAGUUCCCGGGUAAUGUAAAAUGCGGGUUUGAGUCCCGUCUGGCGCA